UGCCGUUAGUGUUGUUGCUGAGAGAAUGGUAUAAUGUGCUACAGCGUGUUACAACAAUUGUGUCAGAUACCAUUUUAUUGACGACCUCUUUAAUUAAUUUAUAUUUAUCCUAAAUUAUAAUUUAUUUUACCAAAAAAUAAAUCAUAACAAAGGUAAAUAAAUCGUUAGUGAUAUAACUCGUGUAGCCACAAUCUGGCAACUGUUCUAGUGUUUACGGAUGCUCCACUCGUUACGAUUUCAUUUCUUCAACAUCGUUGAGUCACCAGGGCCAGGAAGAAAUAGUGUGGAAGGUGCUAAAGUUUGGUGCUAUUCUUGAUUAUAUUGUUUAAGUUGAAAAAUAGAAAAAAAAAUUCAAAAUGCCUUGCUCAGCGGUGACAUUGUCCCUGGCGACUAUAACCGGCAUCAUUGCUACAGCUCUUCUUUCAAUUGCCUUUUCCACGGAUAACUGGCUCUACACUGAGGUCAAACGUGCCCAAAUACAACAAUAUACUUCAAAGAAUCCAGAACAAAGUGACUUGAUAGAGAAAAUGAACACAAAAUAUUAUUAUUAUACAAGGACUCAGGGACUAUUCAGGAUAUGUUACCCUAAAGAACGUCCACCAACUGUUGUGACUUAUCUCAGUCCGGUGGAAACGCAUUGUAUGAACAUCGAUUACUUCAUCCCAGAUGAGGACAAUGAAACAAGAGGAUUUUCUGAAGACGCCAUGGCACGACUUCAUAUGGGAAGAUCAAUGAUAGCACUCUUCAUGGUUGGUUUUUUAGCCAUUUUCUCAGCAUUUUGGACAGGAGUCGUAGGAUGUUGGAGAAGAUCACCAGGCAAUAUCACUGCUACAGCCAUUCUUAUGCUUUUUGCCUGUCUGUUGAGUGCUGGUGGAAUGGGACUUUGGCAUGGAGUCGAAUAUUAUGAAAAGGAAAAAAUCGUAGGCGAAGAAUAUUAUCAACAAUGGAGCAAUGUGUUGAAGAAUAACGUAUCACAGUGGUACGACUGGUCAUUUUAUUUAGCUUGGCUUGGAGUUGCAACUUGUCUCGCAACGAUGACACUUUUCCUAAUAGCUGCAUCAUGCCUUAGAAAAGAACGAGCACGUGAACAAGCAGCAAAUAUUCAAUAUAUCAUGCCAGUGUAUCCUCAGAAACAGCAGUACGCUUAUGCCGGAUAUCCUGCUCCUGCAGCCUAUCCAGGACCUUAUUAUCAUGGCUCUCAAUAUGGACCGUAUAACUAUUGAAGGAAGACUGUACAAUAAACUAAUAAUCAAUUAAUUGACAAGAAACUGAUCAUAUUCAAUCAACAUCAACAUUCAAAAUAGUUAAUGAAGAAAUAAAAUAACUUUUCUAUAUUAAUUUUUUGUUAUCCAUUCCAAUGUGUAAACUUUUAAGCAAUACUGUCGACUAGAAUAGUUAUUAAUGAUUAUUUAGAUUUUAGUAUAAAUAAUAUUGUUAAGAAUGGAUGGAAUGAAUGUAAAAAAAAAGACGUGUAUUUAAUCGAAAAAUAGAAUCAAUUUGUAUUUUUAUGAUGAAUUACAUGUAAAAUUUUUUAUUUGACAUGAAAGAUGAAAGAGUCAAAGUUUAUGUAAUAAUUUGUGAAUCUAAUGUUGCUCAAAUUUGAUACUUUGAUUCUCUUAAAGACGAUUACUAUAAUAUUUUGAAUUAGUUAUAUUAGAAGACAACUAUCUUAUAUUGUAUUAACCAUUUUUUAAUGUGUAAAUCAAUGUCAUUGAUACUUAGAGGCACAGAAAAAAUGCAUAGAAAAUAACAUGACUAAGUACUGUGCUCAUAAGAAGAAUUUGUUUUUAGAGAAAUAAUUUUUAAAUCAAGAGAUCAUUGUGUAGUGCAAUACUGGGCCAUGUUGUUUUUAAUGUACUGACAAAUUUCAAAAAGAACAAUUAUAUAUGUGUAAUAAUUUUACUCACGUAUUGAUACUUUUGUAGUGUCAUUAUCGGCUAUCUAGUAAUAACAUUGGAGGUUCAAUUCUCUUCGAACUUAAUUAAUUUGGUAUUUGAUAGACAUAAGUAAGUCGUAAAUUGUAGAUAUAAAAUAAAUUAAGACUUAUUACGUAAGAAAUAUAUAAUACUUAACUUGAAAAAAA
rnacentral:misc_RNA from 1 species